UCAAUUGUUGCAUGAAAUAAUCAUUUUUUAAAUAAAAAAUAUGAAUUUCGUCAACACCAACGAUCAUGCUGAUCAGUUCUAUGUAUCGGAAAAUCACAACGUCAUCAAGAUCUUUAUUUUCUUAAUUGAAAUGAGGUUCCGACUGAUGGAAUCAUUUAAAACCAAUUGCUAGUGAUGGAAAUAAAUUGUUCUUUAGUGUCAAUUGUUAGAGGAACAGAUCGUGCUCUUGAACAUUUAGUAGCUAGAGCGAAAUAUCUAUCAGUUGACUGGAAAGUAAUACAGUGGAGUGUGAAGUAAUCAGAAGCACUGAUU